CGUUAUUGGAAUAAAUCAAACUCAGCCUUAAAAACUCUCGAAUACAAACACAAGUCUUCCUUAAAUUGUUUCAGCCGGAGCUGGAGCAAGAUCCGGUGCCGGUGCCAUACUCUUCUCCACCCUGUCUCUCUAACUCCAACACCAUUUCUACACUUACUAUUUGCAUUUUUUACAAUAGUUGAUUGAAAAGAAAAGUGAAGUUUCACCGUAGGUUCAAAACUGCAAAUCAAAGAGAAGAAGUGACCGGAGCUCAACUUCAGGUUCAAAGUGAGACGGAUAUCCUCUUAAGCGAUUUUUCUGCAUUUAACAAUUUGAUCCAUCUAGAAGUUAGCCCAGGUUAUAAUUGCACGAGAUUUGCUUCAGAUUUUGGUUCGAUUAUGAGAAGAAUUUUUAGGUUUCUCCAGCUCUCGCCUAAUCUAGAAUCGAUUGUCUUUGCUGAGAGCAUUCGCAUCCCUGAAAAAAAGGAUGAUGGUUGUUGGUCACUUGAUCCUAAAUAUUCGUUACCAAACCUGAAGUCGAUCAAAGUCGAGUAUUUUAAUGGAUAUUGGAUGGAGCUAAAUGCGAUUAAACUCUUUCUGAAGUGUCUUAGUUUUCUUGAGACUGUAACCAUUGUAGCUUCUUCAAGGCUUUCCAAAAACCAUAAGGAACAAAUAAAUGCGAUGAAGUUGUUACUAAUGUUUCCAAAACCCGCCAAAUGUGUGGUUAAGUUCUUGACGAGCUCUGAAAAAGCUUAACAAUACUUUCUGUAUGUCAGUGUUGUUAUUUUAGUCUUUGUGAGGAUCACUCUAGAAGUAGUCCCCUUGUGAGUGUUUACAAGUACUGUUAGUUUGUUUUUUUCUGGAAUAUGUUGGAGAUUGGUGUAAUUCCCUGAACCAUCAAGGAUAGGGUACUAAAAUGUUUUGAUUAUGCCUCAUUUCUGUUUAAAGCAUAUAUUUGCUUCA